CCAUAGAAUGUUCUGUGAUGUACCCAGUGCUGUGAUGUCACUAACUGCCUGUGGACAAUAACCUCAGAACCUAUUGGGUUCACAAGCAGAAUGUUGUCCAGGCUGUUCAGUGUAUUUCUGACGGAGAAUCAAACACAUGCAAAGACCAGUCCAAGCCUUCUCUUGUGAUGUACAAAGAGAAGGAAGAAAUAGCCCUGGGAGUUUGUUCUGAAGACAUCAUCACAACCUUCCACUACCACUGAUGAGGAGGAGAGAAUGAAGUUUGGAGAAGUUAAAAAUUGUUCUCCACAAGAUUUAAAAUGAGAGAGGAACUCUAGGAAAUCCCUUCCCAUUAGCCACGCAAAGAUCUAAGUAACAGCUCUGACGACUCACAUUUUUUGUUGACAGUCCUGAGAUGUCUGUUCAGCCAAUAUUUCCUCACAUCACAGGAAACUACUAGUCCAGGGUAUCCUAAUCGUCAAAAUCAUUUUCCUGAUUCCAUCUUAAACACAGAAUGUUAAAUUCACAUAGGAUUGAGACGGGGGCCAAGGUAUUUUGAUUCCUCCAAGAGUAAAUCAUAUCCUUUGGCCUGAAUCACAAUCUGGGAAUAAGAAUAUAAGUGUGUGAGAUCUGAUUAUGUACUUUAAGAAGCCUGGACGGUUGUUGACUUGUGGAAAUUUUUGGG
rnacentral:lncRNA from 1 species